AAUCUUCCACAAUGGGCGAAAGCCUGAUGGAGCAACGCCGCGUGGGUGAAGAAGGUCUUCGGAUCGUAAAACCCUGUUGUUAGAGAAAAACAAGGACGUUAGUAAAUGAACGUCCCCUGACGGUAUCUAACCAGAAAGCCACGGCUAACUAAGUGCCAGCAGCCGCGGUAAUACGUAGGUGGCAAGCGUUAUCCGGAUUUAUUGGGCGUAAAGGGUGCGUAGGUGGUUUCUUAAGUCAGAGGUGAAAGGCUACGGCUCAACCGUAGUAAGCCUUUGAAACUGGGGAACUUGAGUGCAGGAGAGGAGAGUGGAAUUCCUAGUGUAGCGGUGAAAUGCGUAGAUAUAUGGAAGAACACCAGUGGCGAAAGCGGCUCUCUGGUCUGUAACUGACGCUGAGGUUCGAAAGCGUGGGUAGCA
rnacentral:rRNA from 1 species